UAAACACCAACUUCUCAAGCCAUGAAUGCAUCACUAGUGAUUCCACACUAGUAUCACCCUAGUUUCGAAGUGCCUCCUAAAGAGAAGAAAGGACUUGUCUUUCAAAGUGUUAUGCAACUUAUAAAUAUCAUCCAAGUCUAAGUCUAAAUGACUUAAAAUGUUCUAUAUAUACUAGGUUACAAAAAUUGUGUAAAAUAUUCAAGAUGGUCCCUUAGUCAAAGUCUUCAAGUGGGCGCCCUUAAAGUGUAGUUUGUGGACUAUUUUGGAGCCUAUUUAUGCCUUUCUUUGCACUUCACUUGCAUGCUCCAAGUUUCGGGUUCAAUACACCUCACAUAUGUCCACCUUCGUGGUCGUACUCGUAUCAUCCUCUCAUUUUUGAAAAAGGAUUCGACCUCGAAUCCAUGCCUUGUGUUUUGAUGAAAAAUUUGACUUUUUGAGAGAGUCGCCACUUAAUUUUAAAAAGGAAUUAAGAAACCUUUGUAAAAUACUUAGACGAUUCAAAACAGGAAAAUCGUUUAAGUUAGAGAUUCUAGAUAAGUGGUUCCUAUUAACAUUUUAAGAAGGUGUUAGGCACCUAAAACGUCCGUUAACUGACGGUUAUCCGAUCUGUUUGAAAACAUUCUUUUGACUAACUUCAAAAGAAGAUUGAUUUUUGAAAAAAAACUCGAUUUUAGCGAUGUUUUGAAGUUUAUGCAAAACUAGUUUUUAGCGACUUGACUAAGGGAUUAACUAGGUUAGCAAGAAACAUGUAAACAAGAAGGAAAAAGGAUAGAGGAAAGGGGAGAAGUAGUGAUUUAGGCUUUUAAGCCCAAACCGUCGUCCCUGUCCUAAUCUAGUUUUCGAGUUUUUAGCUCGAAUUUUGCUCCACCUGUAUUAAGUACAACUUUGGCUUCGAGGCCCGAAUAAAUGAAUAAGCAAAUAAAUAAACAAGUAAAGACGACAAUAAGUAAAUAAAUAAAAUAACAAAUGAAAUUUUGAAUCUUGUAGCCGCUUCAAAUGUGGGACUCUAACCCAUUCUUCUCCUUUUGAUUCCUUGCAUUAGUAUUGUGCCAUAAGAUUGAUGUAAUCGCUUUUAGAUCCUCUAAAGGAUGGGCCUCCAUGGCCCGUUGCGUAACGCAAGGAAAAAGAACCCAAUUGGACUCCCAAAGUAGGUCAUGCAAAAAGAAAAGAAAAAGAAUCAGUAUCUAUCCAAAGGUGUCACGUGACAUAAUGUGGAAGCAAAUGGCCCAAAGUUUCUAGAAUUAAAUCAAACAUUCCAACUACAACAAAUCUAGCAACACGUGAGAGCAAUAUCACUGGAGAAAAGAGCUAUUGGUGAAGACAAAACUAUAAUGACAAAGUGUACCAAAAAUGAUAGAAUUAGAUUAGGAAAAAAUUUCACUUUAUCAAACUUAUUAGCUUGCAACUGUGGUUCAACCAAAUUUUGACCUCUUUUUAAUUGAGAAGGGGAAGAUAGGGAGAAGGAAACCAAGUAGAUUAUUCGAUCAUAUAAUGAAUUAAAGGGUCUAAUAUGAUUAAUGAUCUGGAAUCACCACAAAGCAACACCAAACUAGAACAUGGGAUUUGAUUUUCCACUAAGACUUGAAACGUUAGGAUAUGGGUCAAAAAUAUUUUUUUUUAAUCGGUAAACUGAAGAAAAUUUCAAUCCAAAUUUUGAAUAGGAGCAAAAGUGUGUUGAGGACGAAGAAACCUUUAACCGUGAAAAGAAAAUUUCGUUCACUUGACAUAAUGUUAAAGAAAGGAACGCAAGGUUAAAGGAAGGAAACUUUCAGCUACAGGGGUGUCACUAUGGAUUUUUUUUUCAGCAACUAAGCAACAGAAACAUAACUUAUUCGUAGAAGAACAGUAAAACUGGCAUUGUGACACCAGGAUACAAAGCAAUUAGUUAAAUAUGUAACACCCCGUAUUCAAGUACGUGUAUUGGCGUAUUCAAGUACGUGUAUUGGUCUUAUUUAUAUGGAAUUAAUUUUAUUUAUACCGGAAUUUGCCCGUCGAUGGUUCCAUACGAAGUUUAUUGAAUAAAAUUUCCAACGAUAUAAAGAUUUCCAAAAAUGGAUAGGUUUCGGAUAUAAUCGAACACGUUCGAAACUAUAAAACGGUGGCCGGGAUAUUUGGGAAUAGUAAAUGUGCAGGAAAAUUUCCUGCACACAAACUACUGAAGCCAGCCAAUUUUUUUGGUCAACUUUGAACGAUCAUAACUCCCUUAAUAUAAUGAGCUGGGAGAUCUGCGACCUAUGAAAAGAAAGAUCUUUGAGUCUUCUUUCCAAUGCAAUUGGUUUCAUCCAAAUCCAACGUCUGAGUAAGGAACUCCUUGUACAGGACGAACUGGGUGGCCUACUUUAUAUGAAAUGAAAUCCCUUUGAAUUAUCUUUCCAACGAUACUAAUUUCACCCAAAUCCAAUAUCGGAGCAAAGAGUUAUGGUCGAUCUACUUUAGCUUAUCAAAACAGUCCACCAAAGGACAGAUUUGACAUUAUUUAAAUUUUAAAGGCACUUUGGUCAUUCCCUAUGAUAUUAUGGACGGGAAUAUGUGUAUAUAUACAUGUAUAUGAGUUUAAAAACUCAUUUUCAUCAUCAAUCAUUGAGAAAGAACAAACCCUAGCCAAAUUUGACCUUUAAAUUACUUUUGAUUCAACCGUAGAAAUUCCAAAGUAAUCCGAUAACUGCAUUUGUCAUCUCGAGAGCUUCGAACGGCACCUAUUAUUUGUGUAAACAGGAUUGCAUAAUCAAGAGGUGAAUUCUAAGGUAUGAAUAUUGUUUGCCUUUGUUCUCUUCCAUAUGUAUAUGUGUGAUCAAUCAUUGAGAAAGAACAAAACCUAGCCAAAUUUGACCUUUAAAUUACUUUUGAUUCAACCGUAGAAAUUCCAAAGUAAUCCGAUAACUGCGUUUGUCAUCUCGAAAGCUUCAAACGGCACCCAUUAUUUGUGCAAACAGGAUUGGAUAAUUAAGAGGUGAAUUCUAAGGUAUGAAUAUUGUUUGCCUUGUUCUUUUCCAUAUGUAUAUGUGUGAUAGAGGAUUAUAUGUAUUGGUUGUUAUUGAAAGGUGAUGGAAAUAGGGUUAUGGACUAUUUUGCAUGGUUUGGUUGUAUUGAAUUGUGGAAGGUGGAUGUGGUAAUUGGGUUAUGGAAGGUGGAUAUGGUAAUUGAGUUAUGGAAGGUGGAUAUGGUAAUAUACUAUUGAAUUGAUGAUUAUUUAUGUCUAUGGCUCAAUUUGGUUUAAUGGAUUGGUUGGAAGGAUAAAUGAAUCCAAACUUGAUAUUGGAGGAUGUUGUAUGAAUAUGCAUGGCAUGUGAAUGUAAUUGGAGUAUAAGAGGGUUAAAGUGACACCCUUUAUGGUGUAAUUAAGGCUUACUACUUAACCACUAGUUUGGUGAAUUCAAAUAAUUGAAUUGUGACGUU
rnacentral:lncRNA from 1 species